AGCAUGCGCAGUAAUCAGUCACCUGACAUGACGCUGAGAAUUCAGACAAGAAGCAGCUGCAGCAACUGUUGAUAGUGAUAGAAUCAGGUGUGUGGUCAGCUACUUUACUCAGCUGCUAUAGGCUCACGAGUCAUUUUGAAUCAGUGAAGCAUUGCUUUGACAGAUAUUAGAACAAUGAUAGCAAUCUGUGAGGGAUUGGGAAGGAGAAGUGUGAGAGAAAGUUUAUAGUAUAGAAGACUGACACUGACUGGGACAACUGUGAUGAUCACUGCUUGUGUGUUUCUUUCUUGUGUACUCAAUCUGGCUACUAGCAGCUAUUGGACGUGUGCUGCCAUAAGGCUUAGUUGUUAAUCAUGCUUCAUUUCUUAUCAUACUUUGAUGACACAUUGUCAGCUCUCUUGGCCUCAUACUCUCACUGUCUUUCUUGCUCAUUUAGAGCAAUCAUUAUUGUCUUUCACCCAUUGGAAGUCUGAUGAUUGGCUGUCAGACUUAGCAACAUGUUACUUUAUACACUCUACUGUGCUCUUGAUCUCAGAUGGCUAUUAUUUGUUCUUCAAUCCUACCGGGCC